UUUGCCAAAAUGGCGGGUAUUGAGGUCGAAGUCUGCUUCAGGUCACUUUAUGUUGUGCGUUUGUAAACGUUUCGCUCUUGAGAUGAAUGAUUCUGUUUAGGUUUGCCAAGUUAAUGAAGAAGUCAUGGCUACAUGUGAUUCAUGUGCCGAUCUUUAUCGUUUACUGCAAUCAUAUACUGUAAAGUGUGCAUCAGGAGAGCAAUUUGAUGUUAGAAAAAAGGAUGUCAGCGUGUUACUAGAGUUCACACAGCCACAGAGGCAAUGCAAUUGUUGUUUUAAGGAUUUAAAAAAUUUUGAAAGGUUAAACAACAUAGUUCAACUUCUACUACGAUUCGCAAUCAACUCAAUACCCAGUUUUCGCCUAUUAACGCAAGAUGAAAGAGCGUCCAGCUCCGAGAAAGAAUCCUCAGAAAGAGAAUCGAAUGUGUCAGUUCAUAAGGAAAAUGAAGUCACAAAUGUAAGCGCCGGUGAAAAGCUAACAGAAGAGAGGGAAGACACAGGAAAAGUAAAGGAGGAUGAUGGGAAACAUGAGGUGGAAAUUACCUGUCCAACAAAUUCUGAAACAAUAGAGACUGAAGGUACUGUAGAUAUUAAACAAGAUGAAGUUAGUGAUGAUGUAAUACAAGAGAAGAUGUCCUCCGAGGAAGCGAUGAUGAGGGAUGCUGAGGAAGAUGCCGAAGAAGAGAUGGAAGUGGAAGUGGAGAUUUGGGGAAUAAAGGACUAUGAAAAGUUACUACAUCUUGUUGCCAAGGUUUUUCAAAUGAACUUUGCCCUAUAUGCAGCACACAAACACAUGUGUCACGGAAUAACAGAAGAAUUAUCAUCUCAAGAGUCCGAGGCUUUAGGAAACUAUUGUGAAAUGAAUGACCUAGAAGUUCCAAUAUUUCUUCUGCGAAAUGUCUGUUUCUUCUGCGAUAGCAACGGUUUGUCAGUCAUGCAUAACUGUUUUGACGGAUCUACCCCUGAAGCUCUACACUUUGGUUUAGCGCAUGGAAUUAUUGCUGUUGUUGCUAACCUACGUAUAUGGCUUCAUAUCCAUGCUGUCAUGCAGUAUGUCGCUCCACUCCGUGCUCACGUUAUCAGGUAUCUCUGCAAAUUGAAUGACAAUGAUCUACGGCAGACCAGUGCCCGUAACAUGGCGGAUAUGAUGUGGAAUAUGAUCAAGGAACCCAUCGAAACGGCUCUACACUUCGACGGCGACAGUCUCGAGCUAGCUUAUAAAUACUUCCUUUCUUCGACAUUGACCAUGCGGCUUACAGGGUUAAACCAGAUCACCAGUCAAAUUCAUCUUUAUAAUGAAAUAUGCAGCAGUGAAUCGAUAACAGACAGUGAAAAUGUUGGAACACAACUGGCCAACUGGCUACUAGAGAAGGAGAUAGUUGAGCAUAUAUUUGGCCCUAAUUUACAUCUGGAGAUUGUGAAGCAGUGUCAAGUUAUACUGAAUUUUUUAGCUGCAGAUGGCAACAUCACCACCAAGCACAUCGACUGUAUUUGGAACACAGCGCAACUAAAGCACUCUAGUCGUUACGUUCACGAUCUUCUACCGCACUUGAUAAAACAUUUGGAGCCCAUACCGCUAUUCCAUCUAUUAAAAUUGGUCUCCAGCCUUCCACCAUCGGCUCACACUGAACAGACAUUAUUUUUGAGUCAAGUGCUAACAAAGUGCAUUUGGGGAAAUGCUCUUUCUACUCAAGUUGUCACCUCUACUCCGCAUAAAAAACCACAAGCGCAGUAUCCAGUAAUCAGAAGGAACUUGCAAGGAAUGCAUCAUGCAGGGCAUCACAGUCUGAGCAAUAGCAAUGAGAGUAUGAACACUCAAGUCAGUGAUGCGGAACAGGAAUCUCACCACUUCCAUAGGGAAGAUGAGGCAGAAGAAUUGUUAGACGUUGUAGGAAUGGAAGAAUCUACAGAGAGUAAUAAAUUAGCAGACACAUCAAAAGAUUUCUCUACUCAACCUAAGAAAUCUUCAAAUAAGCGCAGGCUGAUCAAAAGACACAGGGCAAAACAUCGACAACAAGUGCUAACACGGCAUUCAUCAUCCAACGAAUCAAAUGGGGACGAUUCUGACAACAUCGACUCUGAGAAUGAAGCUCUCGCGACUAGUCCCGAACCCAUGGAUAGCGAGAGUGGUGAAUCGAACGAUGAACAGGCUGGUAGCGAAGUAAGCGAAUUCAGCAUGGAUAUACCAUCAAAGUUAUCGCCUUCCGUGAAGGCAACAAAGGAACGUAGCCGAAGUGACGGCAGUAGCGUAGGUAGUAGUAAGCACGAGCUGGAAGAAAUUGACAGGCUACGAGAGGAAAAUUUAUCAGAAACCCCUGGAAUCAAAGUUAAAAGAGCAACGAUAAACUUAGACCAUACGUUUAGGAGACAAAGACUACAAGCAAUACGCAAGUCAAAACCUUAUAGACAAAAAGGUGAAAUUCUCUCGGACAGUGAUAAUGAUGAAGAAGAAGUGAUCCAAAAACAUGAAAAGUUAGUACAAGUUGUCCGACCGUGCAUGCAUGUGUACCCAAACACAUCGGACAUUUUAGACUCUGAUGCAGAUAAUCUAAUCAUGUUAUCAUCCCAGCGUAGAUCCUCGCACUCGGAGGAGUUUGCUGGUGAGAGUAGCGCUGAUGUUGAGGUGUAUGACUGCAGAGGUUUUAAACCAUUUCCACCUAGAAUGAGAAAUAUUGAUAUUUUGAGUCCUGAAGACAUCAGCUGCAGCAGUUCCCAGGGCAGUACAAAGUCUGAGAAGAACAUGGCAGACUUUGAUGGUGAAGAUUCAACUGGUGAGGAUGAAUUCAUCCAGCUGAAUGAGCAACUUCACCAGCAACUGCAUGGGCAGCUCACUUUACCGGAGAUUGACUCGGUAUAUGGCAAACAUACCAAAGGCUCAUGUUCUCACAGGAGUUCUUGUGACGACCAACAAGGUCCUUACAAAGAUUUUAACUUUGAUGUGGUCUGUAAAAAAGGACACACCCUUCUUUGGGACUUGGUGCAAGACCACUAUGCAGCCCAGCUUGGUGAAGGCUUAGCAGUAGAAGCAGAGAAGAUGCUUAGUACAUUAGUGUGUGUGUUCCCUGAAAGGGAAAUACGGAUGAAGUUUGUUGAAGGAUGCCUUGAUAAUCUAAAACACCACCGAUCUGUUGUUGUAUCUCUGAGACUUUUGCCAAAACUCUUCGGAUCUUUCCAGCAAUAUAGGAAUAACUGUAACACCCACUGGAUUACUAUGUGGGCUGAAGAGGAGCUUCAUAUGAUGGAGCAUUUCUUCAAUGAUUUAGUGUUUUACACUCAAAAAAUAAGAAAUGGUGAUAAAGAUAAAGGACUGUAUUCCCAUGCAACAGAAGUACAAGUCCGUCUUCAAUUCCUUAACUGUGUCUUCUCAACACUUGGAUCUCCUGAUGAUUUUAGGUUAUCUGUGGAUCAGGUGGAUAUUUUGUGGUCAUGCCUAGCAACCGAUGAGGAAUGUUCUGAUGGUGCUUUAAACUGGUUCUUAAAUCAAGCUAGAAACAAAGACCAACAGCAUCCACUUGGCCUCGAGACAUUCAAACACAUCUUUUUUAACAAAAUGCCUUUACUAGAAGCUGAUACUAUCAGUAUGACUGGGUUGAAGCUAUUCCAACAAUUAUGUAGCUUGGCUAGGCUAGCUAACUCAUCCUACGACAGUCCUGCAGUUGAGAUGCCAGGUAUUGAUCAACUGUGGAAAAUAGCAUUAAGGGCCAAGAAUACAGAUGUUAGCAUAUCUGCCAUACAGUACUUGAACACAUAUUAUAUUAAUGCUGGCAACGGCACACUUGAGAAGGAGGAGGAGUUCAUACAGCUAUGUAUGGAGAGUUUAGCGAGUGCAUCAGCCAAGCUGAAGGACUCACAAGAAUCAAGUUUACUGGUGCUACAAAGAGGUUUAAUUUUAUUAAAAACACAUUUAGAAGCUUUUAAGAAAAGAUAUUCAUAUCAUUUGCGGCAGUGGCAACUGCUGAAUAAAGGUAUCAUAAGUCACGAGAAGAACAAAGUACAGAAUGACACAGACAUAGUCAGGGUUGUCUGCCAAAUGGCUAGUAUGUCUGAAAAGUUCACUUUGGAGCUACACCUGACUGACUUGGUUGCAGACCUGAGGGCAGAGGUCACAUACUUUUCAGAACGCCUCCAGAAGCAACGAGAAGACAAGCCUCGGCAACCAAUCACAUCCACCUCACAUGGCUUUUCCAGCCUUUCCAGUUUCCUAUUGGACAACCAUGGACCGGUGCGAAUGAUCUCAGCUGGUCAUGAACUCACAUCGGAUCUUGAUGAGAAAAUGCUCAAAGAAAUGGGAUUUGUAGACUUUCAGCUUGUGUAUGUGUCUUUCGGGGCAAUACGAAGGGAACGAAAACGUGACACAAUGGAUUUACCUUCAUCGUGCCUUCCAUCACCACCACGGGAAAAGCUACCCAUGAUGCUCUUGCUGCAGGAGCCACACUUCAGCUGUCUGUUAAACCUCCUGCAACAGUUGGAAGAUAUGAAGUGUGAUUCACAGGAUGAACAGAACAAGCAGGAAUACAUGACAAGGGCGCAGGUGCUAUCAAGGAAUGUCUGGGACCUGCUAAUGCUGCUACCCACAAGUGCUGAUAUGCUGAACAAGUUUAAAAAUAUCAAACUUACUGCCAAGGAAGAAGAUACGAAUAGGAGGUUAUCUGAGGGCAGUGUUCAGUCAAGCGUGAACUGGAGCGAGUUGCUGGAUGAGAGCAAGUUGCAUAAGCUACUCUAUUCACUACAGAUCAUUGAAACUCUUGGACAACCUUCAAAAGGAAGUAAAAGAAGCAAAUCCGUGGCUGCUAUUGGUAGGACCGAUAUCUCACAACAAGCUGGAACGUCAGAUUUAGGCGAUGUACAGCACUCUAAGAGUGAUUCAUGCCUGUACAGUACUGACACAGAAGAGGAAGGUAAAGAUGUCUGGUCUUCAAUGUUUAUAAAGACAGGUGGCUUGAAACACCUGUUUAGCAUAUUUAUGUCUGGACACCUGGAACCAAAAGAAGGCCAACAAUGGACUUUAUGGCAACAAGAUUGCUUAGCAAUUGUGCUGAAGCUAAUUAAUGAGUUCGCUCUUGAUCAAGUCACCUUGGAGGUCGGACAAGACGAUGUGUUCGACAGUUUGUCAGAGUUUGACUCGCCUCCUAAGAAGCCACGGAGUGGUCGAAGUAAACCUUUCCAAGAUGAAAAGAAGUCGGUGAAGAGAUUAUCACAUGAAUUACUAGCUAUGAUGACACAGGAUGGGGUGUUGACUAAGCUGAUGGACGUUUUGUACCAAGCAGCUGCAUCGAGGGAAACAGGGCAAGUGCAAUCUGGUUACUGGGUGGUUCAUUAUGCAAUGAUGUUACUGAAAUCCUGGGGGAUGAGUAAUCCAUCGGUCAAAGGUCACUUGGUCAAGAGUCCCAACUUUGACCAAUGGCUACUACGAAUGGUAUUGAAAACACCUGAGAGGUAUGUCCGCAAUGAGGUUCGUACCGGUUUGUUUGAGCUGUGUGAGGGUAACAAGGAGCCAUGUCAGAAGUUUAUAUGGUCUCUGCUUUCUACGCUUCUCAAUUUCUUACCGGUCGCCCAAGAGAUUAAGCCAAAGAAGUUUGAUGAUGAGUAUGACAAUCCUGGGCCGGGAUGCCGGGACUAUUUUUGGUUGCUAUGCGCUCUUAUGGACAAUGUACGAAGACCAGAUGACGAUGAUGAAUACGAGAAAAUGAUAAUAAAAAUUAAUUCUAUUAUAGAGCACAUCGCUGAAGCACUUAUCAGUAGAGAAAUAUAUGAAGAUCGCCACAACACUGAUGAGGACAAAACGCUGACCGGACUGCUGAAGCUCAGUACAUCUGCCCUCAAGCAUGACCCACCGUUCAAGUUCAGCAAGGAAGGCCAGGUGUUUUUAAACAAUGUGUUUGAUUGCCUGUUUGCUGUUCCCUCCAUUGACAAUCGUAACCUACCCAAGUGCAAGUCACGGGAAGCUAGGCAUGCAGCCUUUGACUUACUAGUGAAGCUUGCCGAUAGUUGCCAGGAUAACUACACUAUACUGCACAAAAGAAUGCUAAACCAACAUCGACCAGGUUCUCACAUACCGUACCCAUGGCAGUACUGGCCCCUUGACGAUGGGCGCUCACCGUGCGGCUAUGUAGGCCUAACUAAUCUUGGAGCUACCUGUUACAUGGCCUCCUGUAUGCAACAACUUUUCAUGAUGCCAGAAGCUAGGGCCCCAAUACUUAAUGGAAAGAUAAAUGAACACACAAAGCAUAAAAACACCCUCUAUGAGCUGCAGCGGAUGUUCACAUUUCUACAAGAGAGCGAGCGUAAGACUUACAACCCACGCAGCUUCUGCAAAGUAUACACCAUGGAUAAGCAGCCACUCAAUACCGGUGAACAAAAGGACAUGACAGAAUUCUUCACAGAUCUGAUUAGUAAAAUGGAAGAAAUGACUCCAGAACUUAGAGAACUUGUUCACAGUUUAUUCAAAGGUGAAUUGACAAACAAUGUUGUGUCGUUAGACUGCCCCCACGUGAGCAGAACAACUGAAGAGUUCUUCACUGUAAGAUGUCAAGUGGCUGAUAUGAAAAAUCUCUAUGAAUCGCUUGAUGAAGUCACUGUUAAAGAUACUUUAGAGGGUGAUAAUAUGUAUACUUGCUCACAAUGCGGGAAGAAGGUCAGAGCAGAGAAAAGGGCUUGCUUCAAAAAACUUCCUAAAAUCCUAUCAUUCAACACAAUGCGAUACACUUUUAAUAUGGUAACCAUGAUGAAGGAGAAGGUGAACACACACUUUUCAUUCCCAGUACAAUUGGACAUGUCAGGCUACACUGAGGAUGCCCUCAUGGGCAACAAACCCCAAGGUCAGGAAGACAAUUUAGAUUAUCUAUAUGGCUUAGUUGGGGUAACAGUACACACUGGAACUGCAGAUGGUGGCCAUUAUUAUAGUUUUAUCAAAGACCGUAUCCAUAGCGAUGCCCAGCGUGAUCGCUGGUACAUGUUCAAUGAUGCAGAAGUAAAGCCCUUCGAUUCAACUCAGCUGGCUGCUGAGUGCUUUGGUGGUGAAAUGACAACGAAGACUUAUGAUUCUGUAACUGACAAGUAUAUGGACUUUUCAUUUGAAAAGACACAUAGUGCAUACAUGCUUUUCUAUGAGAAGAUUGAGCCAGAGGAGUCCAAAAAGAAGGCAGCAAGUGUCCUGGAUCAAGUGCAAUUAUCAAAAGAUCUUGCUCAGUCAAUCUGGCAGGAUAAUAUGCAAUUUCUUCGUGAUCGUUUCAUCUUUGAUCGUCAGUACAUGGAUUUUAUGUGGAAGGUGUGUCAUCCGCUGCCAUCAACGUUACCGCAGCCGCAGAGCUUUCAACCAAUGAGCUCCAAGCUCACCACAUGUUUUGUCCUUGAGACGUUGAUCCAUGCCAAAGAGAAGCCCAUAAUGGUGCAAUGGAUGGAACUGAUGACCAAGCAAUUCCACACAUGCGCUGAAGCAUGUGAGUGGUUCCUUGAUUUCAUGGCAAAAGAUGAUUGUUGGCCAAUGCAGAUUCUAAUCAAGUGUCCGAUACAAACUGUGAGGCAGCUCUUCCAACGUCUGUGUAUCCAUGUGAUACCUCAGCUGAGAGAUAAGCAUGCUCCUCUGUACAUUCAUGCUGAUGUUGACAGUGAUGAAGAUGGUUAUAUUGCCCCAACUCACAUCGGAAAUUGUUCAUGUGUGACAAGGUUCAUUAAAAAGCUGCUUUCAAUAAUUGAGCAUGGUGUCAGACCUCACUGUAAACAUUUGACAGAAUAUUUUUCAUUACUGUUCGACUUCGCCAAGAUCGGGGAAGCAGAGUCAGCAUUUUUACUGUCAAUAGAAGCAAUCACAAUUAUGGCCAACUUCUAUCUCGGCACCAAAUCCGCAGAAUAUGUUGAAGUGUUGUCAGAUGAUGAUAACGACGAGGAUGAUGAUGAUGAUGAUGUCAUUUCAUUAACUGAAGACAAAUAUCGGCCAAUAUCAUUUGAGAAGAUGAUCGCCCUCAUGGCUUACUUAGUGGAGCAAUCUCGUCGAGAUCGUCAACUUACACUCUCCCAAAGUGACUAUGCGGUACUUGUCGGUGGAAAGGGAUACCCUUUCCUUUAUCAACAAAUUCGAGACAACAUCAACAUUCAGCAAACUAGGAACCUGAUCUUCAGCCUGACCAGGUUCUCACCAAGGCUACCAGAGCAGAUUGUUGCUAUGAUAUUCAAUGCUAUUGCUAAACUGAAUCAAGAGGCUGGACAGCCUUUCUUCAAGUUACUAUCAAUGCUGGUAGACAUGGUUGGAGGACCACCUGGCUUACCUGCCUUCACGCCUUUGAUUCUACAGAGAAUGUGGGAGAUAGCCGAGUACAACCCUCACCAGGUACUGGACUGGCUAGCUGCCCAUGUGCCCAGAAACAAGUAUGCUCAUCACUGGACACUACAAGGCAUUGAGACGUGGAUCGAACACUUCCUAUUGGAACACCACAAUGCUCGAGUUAGAAGCUCUGCUGCCUACUUGCUAGUCUCUCUGGUUCCAGACACUCAAUUUCGACAAGGUUAUAGGUCAUCUAGAAGCAUGCAUAAUCCUCAGAAAGAGCUUGUGUUGACUACUGAAGCCCUUGAGGUAUUGCAUGAAGUCUACAGAGUUCUACUGGAACUUCUUAGGAUUGCAAGGCAGUUUGCAGAUGCAUCGGUCCAUGGAACUGCGAAAUUAGUGUCGUUUUUCUCUCUCCUCAAUUACUGUCUCAUAUCAAAAACUGAAAAGCAAAUGUUUAGUCCGUAUUUUGAAGACCUUUGGAAUAUUUACCUACCGAAGCUGUCAGAGCCUCCCAUCUCAUGCAAUCACAAUAAAGAGGCCCUGCUAAUAUUCUGGUACAAUGUUUGCAAGGACUGUCCAGAGAAUGUUCAGCUGAUCGUCUCUAAUUUAGUGGUUACAAAACACUUACCAUAUAACUACAUUUUAGCUGAUCAUGAGGAUCAGGAGGUGGUGAUGUUCAACCGAGUGAUGUUGCCGGCAUACUACGGCCUACUCACCCUAUGCUGCCAGCAGUCAAAGUCUUUCACAAGGACAUUGGCUUGUCAACAGAACUUGCAGUGGGCCUUUGAGCAUCUCACCCCACAUGCCAAUCAGUACCCCACCGUCGUUGAAGAACUUUUUAAGUUAAUGGAAUUAUUUGUAGAGAAGCGACCAGGAACAACUGAGCAAGAGCUGCAACAAAUCAAAGAGUUCAAGCGACAGACUCUCCACAUGUAUCUGAAGUGCCUUGAGAAGAACUCCUGCUGGACAACCAUCAUCAGUGUGUUCCGGAUUCUAGUGGAGAACAAAGAAGAUCACUUACUGGUCAUCCAGAACCAUGGUCUUAGCAGACUGUAUGAUGCUUUUAACACAGUGCAUUUGAUGUACCAUGAAGCCACAGCUUGUCAUGUGACCGGAGACCUUGUAGAGUUGCUGUCAAUCAUCCUGCUGGUGUUGAAAUGUGCCAAAGCCCACUCAGAUGACAAUGAAAUUUGUCAGUCUUUAAUCAUGUGGCAAGAGAGACUAGAGUUUGGACAGAAGUUGCUAACUUUGCUCAACUCAUACACACCAGAUAGUGUCAGAACUAAAGCCAUAAGUAUUUUAACACAGCUGUUGAUGCUGUAUCCCAAGGAAUGCGUCAAGGAGCUUGGUCUGAUAAUACAUCAUGCACACAACCAAUUCCAACGCACCACUAUGCCAGUACCAACAGGACCUUUCUUUCCAUUCCGUGCUCCGAAGCCAGCCUUCAAUAAAGCUGGGAUACGCCCUCCGAGGCCGGAGCUUCAAAUGUUCCUACACGCCAGUCAGCUCGAGACGUCCAAGGGAACUGAUGUUGUUUAUGACAAUAGGCUGUUGGACUUCUUUCUUCCAUAUCAUGUUUUCAUUGACUUGCUAUGCAGGACUGCAGUUGCAGAGAACAUGCUCUCAGAAACUAUCAUUAAGCUCAGUGCACUUGUGGCUUUGGAAGGAGUACCUCUGCAACUAAGCUGGUUUGCAAACUUUUGGAAAACAAUCUAUGUAACAGAGGAUGUUGACAAGGAUUGUAAGGAGACGUUAUGCAAUUACCAUGUAUUCCACGAGUUCAUGGAGUCUGUUCUACUUGAUGAACGCACCUCAUUUAAUAACCCCAUCAUCAACUCUUUCUUCUGUAUGUUCUUCCCAAAGGUAUACAAACAUGUACUGUGCAAUAACUGGGACAAUUUAGUGAACACGGUGGCAGCUGCAUUGAUAGCUGAGAUGGACGACAUCAACAAAUACAAAGCAAAGCAACUCAAUAUGGUCGCUUACACAUUGAAUGGGGAUCUAAGAGCACUCCUUCUAAUGUUUUCUGUCUCACCACCAAGACAUCUAAGCUCGGUAUUUGUUCCAGCUCUCAAACACAUCUUGGCUCGAUGCAAGCAAUAUCAACUAGAAAGAGCUGAUCAAUUGGAGGCUCAGAAAGACCACAAGGAAUCAAAAACAGACACACACAGCAAAAAUAGUACUACAGAUUCUAAGGACCAAUCAGAAUUGCCAGAAUCUGACUCAAAUUUGAAGAAGAGAAAAGCAGAAGAUGAACUUGAAAGCACUGAUGAAAAAUCAAUAUCACCAAAUGAUUCAACAAAGAAACAAAGAGUAGACACUGGAUUAAUGGAGAAUGAUGAAUCCGCUUCAGAUGAUCAGAGUGUGUCAAAGGAUGAUAAGGAACAAUCUUCAAGUGAAGAGUCUAGUGAAGAGGGAACCUCAACUGGUCUGAGGUCAAAAAGUCCCACCUCUGCAGACGUCAAGGUUCCUAAGGAAUCAUUCAAACUAUCAGAAGUUAUGAAAAAAGCAGCAACACGUUUACAAGAGAAUGUGGACAUACUUGUUAAAACAAUUGAUAAAAUGCUCUUGUUGUUAGAUAAAUGUGGUCUGAUUGAGAAAGAAAGUACAGAAAAUGUUGAUGAAUGAAGAAAUCAGAUUUACACGAGCUUUUAAAAAUAUGCUGCUUCAAUGUAUAUGCAAACAUUUAGAGGAAUUGGCUCUGCUAUGCUUUGCGGCCCACAGUUGAAGAAAAUUUGGCAGUAUUGAGGAAGUGUUCAGGUAUCUACCAGUCCUGGACUUUACUACCAUUACGUAGUCACUACAUACAUAGUUAAUUGAAAAAAAAACACUCAGUAGGCAUAUGAGGUGGUGAGUGUUUUUGAGUGUUGCCGAGAGUUAUUUCCACAACCAGGAAAUGUUCUAGACCCCAGUAAGUGAUUCAGAGUGAGUUUCUUCCAUUCCAAUUAUGUUUACUUUAAUGCAUAUUCAUGCCAAUAUUAAUUUGCAUAGAAGUGAGCAGUAAUUUUGCCUUGCUUACAAUUUCUGUGUUAAUGUCAUUAGCUUUCAUAUCAUCACGUUUGAGGUAGGCAUAUUAACUAACAUUAAGCCAACCUCCCUAAAGUCAAAUGUACUGGAUUUAUUGUGUGGUACAAUAUAGUGAGGAUAAGUGUCAAUUUAACACAGGUACUGUGGCAACAUGUAGCAUCAACACUUGUGGGGUCAGAAGGUGUAACACAGGUGAUGCAUCAUUUGAAAGCAUGUGGUAUAAGAAAAUUUGACAUGUUUUGUGGCAUUAGAAAUUGUGGCAUGAGUGUAACACACAGAAUACGCCACUGGUAGUGUAGCAUGAGGGAGUGCAUCAGAGAUGGCGUGUCAUCAGAGGGUACAGCACAGGUGAUGUUGUUUUGGUGUCAUAGUGGUAGUUUAACAUGGGUGGUGUGGCCUCUGCAAGUUUAACUCGGUGAUGUGGCAUCAACAAUAGUUAUCACUCACUUGUCAUUGAACAGAACCUUGAAAUAUGACAUUGUACUACUUUAAAAACUAUUAGGCAUCUUAUGCUAUUGACAAAAUGAAGGACUAUUGACAAUACUGAUAAUUCAUUUAAAAAAAAGGUGUUGGUAAUUGUCAAGUCCAUUGUGUGUGUAGUGAUGCCCAUCUUAGUAACAUUGUGGGUGUGCAAUCCUACAAUUCUGUAUGUUACAUAAAGGGAGUACAAGAGGAUGUGUUAUUGAUUGUAGUCUAUGAGAAUGUUGCAUACAUUUUAACACAUUAAGAUCAGAAUAUUCGUCAUGAAGAACUUAGUAGGCGAUUUUGUUCAACAUCAUAUUGAUGGAUAGUAUUGUUCGUAUUUUGCUAUAUUUGUAAUGCUUUUGUAAAUAAUUGUAAUUUACAAAAAUGUGUUGUGAAAAAAUAUAUAUCUUGCCAAGUAACACAUUAUUCCUUGAGUUCAUAAAAAAGAAAUGACUGAUUUUGUUUUUAAAUACUUGAAAAUAAGUUGCUUGGAAAUAGUAUGUGUCAGCUAUCUACAGAAAAAAAUUGAGGAUGUAUAUGUACAUUAUUUUAUGCAAACACUUGAAUGUGUCACCUGAAUGGUGGGGGAAAGCGCCUAUAAAUAGGUAGAGGUCAAUGGGAGGGAGUUAGGAGGGGUAAAAUCUUCUCAUUAGCUGGGGGUAAUGGGGCAUGCAGCGGGGGUACUGUCUCAGUGGUGGUGAAGCUUAACCAUUUUAGGUACUGUAUUAAGAGGAUUAAGUUAAUUGAUUUUAAGAUGUAAUUCCAGAAAUAGAAAACUUUUGACCUAUUUGGUGCUGUGUCUAGCAAGGAUUGUGAAUCCAAUGAUUACUAUCCCAGACACCCAUACCUAGCCUAUGUUAUUUCUGCAGACAUACAGUUUAUUGAUACUGUAAUACUGUUACUGUAUAUCUGUAAAAAUGACAAUAAAAUACAAAAAUGAAUUCAAUAAUGCAACAUAAUAUGAUUAAAUAUAAAAUAAAGUCUUAUUAAAUA
rnacentral:misc_RNA from 1 species